rnacentral:rRNA from 1 species
GCUUGCAACCAGACUUGCACGCUGCUGAUCAUCUGGUGUUCUCACCGGUGCACUCGGCUGCGUGCAGGCCAGCAUCAGUUCGGGCGGCUGGAUAAAGGCCGCGGGAAUGUGGCUCCUCCGGGAGUGUUAUAGCCCGCGGUGCAAUGCAGCCUGCCUGGACUGAGGACCGCGCUUCGGCUAGGAUGCUGGCGUAAUGGUUGUAAGCGA